UUGGAGAGGUUGAUCCUGGCUCAGGAUGAACGCUGGCGGCGUGCCUAAUACAUGCAAGUCGAGCGAACAGAUAAGGAGCUUGCUCCUUUGACGUUAGCGGCGGACGGGUGAGUAACACGUGGGUAACCUACCUAUAAGACUGGAAUAACUCCGGGAAACCGGGGCUAAUGCCGGAUAACAUUUAGAACCGCAUGGUUCUAAAGUGAAAGAUGGUUUUGCUAUCACUUAUAGAUGGACCCGCGCCGUAUUAGCUAGUUGGUAAGGUAACGGCUUACCAAGGCAACGAUACGUAGCCGACCUGAGAGGGUGAUCGGCCACACUGGAACUGAGACACGGUCCAGACUCCUACGGGAGGCAGCAGUAGGGAAUCUUCCGCAAUGGGCGAAAGCCUGACGGAGCAACGCCGCGUGAGUGAUGAAGGUCUUCGGAUCGUAAAACUCUGUUAUUAGGGAAGAACAAAUGUGUAAGUAACUGUGCACGUCUUGACGGUACCUAAUCAGAAAGCCACGGCUAACUACGUGCCAGCAGCCGCGGUAAUA
rnacentral:rRNA from 1 species